rnacentral:rRNA from 1 species
AUACGUAGGGGGCGAGCGUUGUCCGGAAUGAUUGGGCGUAAAGGGCGCGUAGGCGGCCCGGUAAGUCUGGAGUGAAAGUCCUGUUUUUAAGAUGGGAAUUGCUUUGGAUACUGUCGGGCUUGAGUGCAGGAGAGGUAAGUGGAAUUCCCAGUGUAGCGGUGAAAUGCGUAGAGAUUGGGAGGAACACCAGUGGCGAAGGCGACUUACUGGACUGUAACUGACGCUGAGGCGCGAAAGUGUGGGGAGCAAACAGGAUUAGAUACCCUGGUAGUCCACACUGUAAACGAUGAAUGCUAGGUGUAGGGGGUAUCGACCCCUUCUGUGCCGGAGUCAACACAAUAAGCAUUCCGCCUGGGGAGUACGGCCGCAAGGUUGAAACUCAAAUGAAUUGACGGGG